rnacentral:rRNA from 1 species
UGAACGCUGGCGGCGUGCUUAACACAUGCAAGUCGAACGAGAACGGGAUUGCUUGCAAUCCUUAGUAGAGUGGCGCACGGGUGAGUAACACGUAGAUAAUCUACCUUCAAAACUGGAAUAACUAUUCGAAAGGGUAGCUAAUACCGGAUAAAGUUUAUGCACAUAGGUGUAUUUAUGAAAGAUUGCCUCUUCUUGAAAGCAAUUGUUUGGAGAUGAGUCUGCGGACCAUUAGCUUGUUGGUGGGGUAAAGGCCUACCAAGGCUGCGAUGGUUAGCUGGUCUGAGAGGAUGAUCAGCCACACUGGAACUGACACACGGUCCAGACUCCUACGGGAGGCAGCAGUGAGGAAUUUUGCGCAAUGGGGGUAACCCUGACGCAGCAACGCCGCGUGAGUGAUGAAGGCCCUUGGGUCGUAAAGCUCUGUCGACAGGGAAGAAAUUAUAGAUAUCUAAUAGGUGUUUAUAUUGACGGUACCUGUAGAGGAAGCACCGGCUAACUCC